rnacentral:rRNA from 1 species
UACGGGGGGGGCAAGCGUUGUUCGGAAUUACUGGGCGUAAAGGGCUCGUAGGUGGCCAACUAAGUCAGACGUGAAAUCUCUGGGCUUAACCCAGAAAGGUCAACUGAUACUGCGGGGCUAGAGUGCAGAAGGGGCAACUGGAAUUCUCGGUGUAGCGGUGAAAUGCGUAGAUAUCGAGAGGAACACCUGCGGCGAAGGCGGGUUGCUGGGCUGACACUGACGCUGAAGCGCGAAAGCGUGGGGAGCAAACAGG